rnacentral:rRNA from 1 species
UACGUGGGGGGCAAGCGUUGUUCGGAAUUACUGGGCGUAAAGGGCGCGUAGGUGGCCAACUAAGUCAGACGUGAAAUCCCUCAGCUUAACUGGGGAACUGCGUCUGAUACUGGAUGGCUUGAGUUCGGGAGAGGGAUGCGGAAUUCCAGGUGUAGCGGUGAAAUGCGUAGAUAUCUGGAGGAACACCGGUGGCGAAGGCGGGUCUCUGGGCCGAUACUGACGCUGAGGAGCGAAAGCGUGGGGAGCGAACAGG